UACGUAGGGUGCAAGCGUUACUCGGAAUCACUGGGCGUAAAGGGUGCGUAGGUGGUUUGGCAAGUUGGUAGCGUAAUCCCGGGGCUCAACCUCGGUGCUACUACCAAAACUGUUGAACUUGAGUGCAGGAGGGGUGAAUGGAAUUCCCAGCGUAGCGGUGGAAUGCGUAGAUAUUGGGAAGAACACCAGCGGCGAAGGCGAUUCACUGGACUGUAACUGACACUGAGGCUCGAAAGCGUGGGGAGCAAACAGG
rnacentral:rRNA from 1 species